rnacentral:rRNA from 1 species
GACGAACGCUGGCGGCGUGCUUAACACAUGCAAGUCGAGCGAUGAAGCACCUUCGGGUGUGAAUUAGCGGCGAACGGGUGAGGAACACGUGAAGAAUCUGCCUUCAACUCUGGGAUAACUCCGGGAAACCGGGGCUAAUACCGGAUAUGAGCCUUGAUCGCAUGAUUGGGGCUGGAAAGUUUUUCGGUUGAAGAUGACUUCGCGGCCUAUCAGCUUGUUGGUGAGGUAAUGGCUCACCAAGGCGACGACGGGUAGCCGGCCUGAGAGGGCGACCGGCCACACUGGGACUGAGACACGGCCCAGACUCCUACGGGAGGCAGCAGUGGGGAAUAUUGGGCAAUGGAGGAAACUCUGACCCAGCGACGCCGCGUGAGGGAUGAAGGCC